UACGUAGGCAGCAAGCGUUGUUCGGAGUUACUGGGCGUAAAGGGUGUGUAGGCGGUUAUUUAAGUUUGGUGUGAAAUCUCCCGGCUCAACCGGGAGGGUGCGCCGAAUACUGAAUGACUUGGAGUGCGGGAGAGGAAAGUGGAAUUCCUGGUGUAGCGGUGGAAUGCGCAGAUAUCAGGAGGAACACCAAUAGCGAAGGCAGCUCGCUGGGACGUUACUGACA
rnacentral:rRNA from 1 species